AUACGUAGGUCCCGAACGUUGCGCGAAAUUACUGGGCGUAAAGGGUCCGUAGGCGGUCUGGUAAGUGGAAGGUGAAAGCCUGGGGCUCAACUCCAGAAUUGCCUUCCAAACUGCCGGACUUGAGGCAGGGAGAGGUCGGCGGAAUUCCCGGUGUAGUCGUGAAAUGCGUAGAUAUCGGGAGGAACACCAGUGGCGAAGGCGGCCGACUGGAACUGUCCUGACGCUGAGGGACGAAAGCCAGGGGAGCGAACCGGAUUAGAAACCCUAGUAGUCC
rnacentral:rRNA from 1 species